UACGUAGGGUGCGAGCGUUAAUCGGAAUUACUGGGCGUAAAGGGUGCGCAGGCGGUUUUGUAAGCCAGGUGUGAAAUCCCCGGGCUCAACCUGGGAAUGGCAUUUGGGACUGCAAGGCUGGAGUGCGGCAGAGGAGACUGGAAUUCCCGGUGUAGCAGUGAAAUGCGUAGAUAUCGGGAGGAAUACCGAUGGCGAAGGCAGGUCUCUGGGCUGACACUGACGCUCAUGCACGAAAGCGUGGGGAGCAAACAGG
rnacentral:rRNA from 1 species